UGUCCCUCCCUGCCUCCAUCUCUAAUUGGACGCUGGCCUCUAUUGGCCCCGCCCCUCGGCGACGUGAGCCCGCUUCCCUCCGAGUCACGGCGCCGAGCGGGUGGGGCUGGGCGGGGCGCCGGCGCGCUAUUGUCAUGGAGACGAGAAGCCGGCGGCCUCGGAGGCGGGCACAGCCCGGCCCAGGUGGCUGCCAGCCUGCCGAGACUGAGGCGAGGCCCGGCGGCCGGGACGGCCGGAGCGGGAGGGAGCGCCGGGCUGGCCAGUGGUGGCUUCUCGGGCAGCCAAGGGGAGGUGUCCUCCCGGGCUCGGUGUAGGCCGGGCGGUCGCGGGGAGCUACCCCGCCCCGUUCCCUUCGCUCCCGCCCCUCGCGGCCCUUGUGCUCCUCAGCGCCCGCCCCCGGCUCCGCCCGCCGCCGCCGCCGCCGCCGCCACCGCCGCCGCCGCGGCAGCCGCGGCAGCCCCUCGCGCUAACGGUCGGUAGCGGCCCGCGCGCGCCGCCCGCCGGGGGCUUGCGCCAGCCACCGGGCAGUGUCCGCCGCCCGCGCGCUCGCGCGGCGGAGGAGAGCUCAUGAUUUCCUGGAAGCUGGCUGUCCAUCAAUGGUGUAUAUAAGAUGUAAAUCCUUAGGAAAAAUUUAAAUGCUCUUCAGUUGAUAACGUGCAAGUUAUAAGUAUGAUGCUUCCGUAAUACAUUUGGGUGUUUUCAGCUAAGUUCACUUCUGAACGAUGGGGUUCCUCCAAAUGUUGGCUGAAAUUUGUCCUUGCAUAUCCCCAAGCUCAUCUGCAAAGUCUACAGUUCAUAAUGGAGCUACUAUACUGGCUAUCGGAAGGAGGAGAUUCGGAAGAUAGGGAGAUUCAGCUAUCGGGCUUUGAAACUUCCUGUGGUCUGUUCAAUCUAGAUGCAAAGGACCUGGAACAGUCAAGUGCGCAAGAGGUUUAAAUUGUUUUGGAUAUUCCUAUUUAUAGACAAAAAUAUUUUUCCAAUUCAGAUCCUCAGUUGUUAUGCAAAAGAAGGUCAUGCUCUUCUUCAUCAUCCAUUUUAUUUGAAAUGAUUAGUAUUGUAGAGUAUCACCAAACAUUUUCUCUUUGAAUCAAAGUAUAGAAAAAAUAAAAUCAAUUCUAUAUGUUGA